UCGAUGGCUGCUAAUAUGCAGAAAUGUGGCAGAAGUGACUUGGGGCCAGUUUCGAGGCCCUGGCCUUAAGGAACGGGCAGCCUCUACUCCCUGUCUCUUGGAAUCCAGCUGCCAUGUUGUGAGGAUGCUCAAGCAACUCUGUGGAGAAGCCCUUGUGGAAAGGAGCCAGUUCCUCAGCCAGUUCUGGAAAGCGUUGAGCCAAAUACCGAAGAAGCAACAGAUAGGGAAGCGCAAGACAGAAGCAGAAUGUCUCCUCGAGGAGAUUUCACCGUCGUAGAUUUUCAAACCAAGCUGCUGUUGGAAUAAGACUGCCCUCCUGGUUCUUGGGAUAGAAAAAUCAGAGUUAAGGUACUGAAUGCAGUCCCAGGAGCAAGCUUUCGUUCCCUCGCCUUCUACAUGCACGGCCAAACGCCCCGUCGGCCGUGGAGGUGUCAUGCUGCAUCCCCCUAAGGAGAACGACCUUGAGCCACGGCUGCCGCUGCACCCCCAGCCUGGGGCAGGCUGAGCCCCCGGGAACUGUAUGAGGAAGGGGGAUGGUGGUGUUUCCAGCCCUGCUGGUGGACGGUCCCCUCUUCUGCACUCCCCGGAGAUAUGUGACCCAAGUUCCCCUGUGGAAGGGCAGUGCCUGGAUGUCCCUCCCACACGGGUGGGUGGAAUGGCCCAGGAGGAAGCCUUGCCCACACAGACCUUAAUUACAAAUACUUGCUUUCUAGGAAUAAACCACUUUGUCUAACACUU